rnacentral:lncRNA from 1 species
CCACGUCAUUUCUUUGUUACUCGAAACUGGUUUUAACGGGCCAAUUCAGGUGAAGCAAUAUUAAAAAGACAUGGCCCAUCUUUAACUAGCCCAAACCUCCUUCCAAAUAAGUCGUCUCCGCCUCUUCAACUUCACGAUCAUCGUUUCCGACUUCUGCAAUCCAACGUUUCUGUUACUUACUCACAUUCAAUUAUGUUCUUUAAACCUUUUUUAAUAAGAGAUGUUACCUUCAUUCAUCGAAGCUUUCUACCUCCCUUUCUUUCUGUUCUUAUAUAAACCCUACAUCAAAGCUUUCAUCAAUGAUCUACGUCCUCCAUACAACAAAGUCAAGAUAUAGCCAUGAAAUCGGCUGAUAUCUCCAGCAAGCCAUCGUUUCUUUACCAAUUUCGUAACCACUCCACUGGUUUCUUUUCGAACAGAACACUGCCAUGCAAGGUUUCAUCUCAUCUAAUCGUGCUCCACUCUCAAAC